UACGUAGGGUCCGAGCGUUGUCCGGAUUCAUUGGGCGUAAAGAGCUCGUAGGCGGCUCAGUAAGUCGGAUGUGAAAACUCAGGGCUCAACCCGGAGACGCCAUCCGAUACUGCUGUGGCUUGAGUCUGGUAGGGGAACACGGAAUACCUGGUGUAGCGGUGAAAUGCGCAGAUAUCAGGUGGAACACCGAUGGCGAAGGCAGUGUUCUGGGCCAGUACUGACGCUGAGGAGCGAAAGCGUGGGGAGCAAACAGG
rnacentral:misc_RNA from 1 species